rnacentral:misc_RNA from 1 species
GGGAGAGACAUGGUGCUACAUUCCAAGGGCUUGGAACAGUACAACCCCAGUAAGCUGGUGCCGGAAAAAGUGAUGCUGGAAAUCCAGAAGGAGAAAAAGCAGGAGGAGGCAUUGGAGAGCUCCAUGGAUAAGACCAAGGUAGCCCUGGAAAGCAUGGUACUUGAGGAGGAAAGCCUUGAUGAUUAUUAGUUGCAACUUCUUUGGAGCCACAGUUUCCUCCCUUCUUAGAUGAAAUCGAAGCUGUGACAGAAGAUCCACUUAAUCUAUCACCUGCUCC